rnacentral:rRNA from 1 species
GUCCACGCCCUAACGAUGUCUACUAGUUGUCGGGUCUUAAUUGACUUGGUAACGCAGCUAACGCGUGAAGUAGACCGCCUGGGGAGUACGGUCGCAAGAUUAAACUCAAAGGAAUUGACGGGACCCGCACAAGCGGUGGAUGAUGUGGAUUAAUUCGAUGCAACGCGAAACCUUACCUACCCUUGACAUGGAAGGAAUCCCGAAGAGAUUUGGGAGUGCUCGAAAGAGAACCUUUACACAGGUGCUGCAUGGCUGUCGU